rnacentral:lncRNA from 1 species
CAAGUGAGACCCUGUCUCUAAAUAAAAUACAAAAUAGGGCUGGGGAUAUGUCUCAGUGGUUGAGUGCCCCUGAGUUCAAUCCCUGCUACUAAAAAAAAGAAAAGAGAAAUGGAGCUUUGAGACAUUGCUCAUGGAUCCUACCGUAGUGCAACCACUUUGGAAAAGCAGCAGUUACAUUAUAGUCAGCAGGGGCUGUUAGCAAUGCUGCAGACAGGCAGGGCACUUGGCAGUGCUGGCCUCUCUAUGAGGACACCAGCCUGUUGGGUAGGCCUACCUGGGAGCUCACACAACUGUCACUGCUGCCUGGCAGGCAGCAUCCUGGAAGCGCCAUACUGAAGUCAGGGCACCAGCUGUGAUGGCUGGGGGCCCACUUGGAGUGUGGUCUGUAGUUUGUAAAGGCUAUGUGGAAAGAUGGAGGUGCAGGGACACACUUACCUUGGCUGUUACCACUUUUACUUAUUUAUUUUUAUUUUUGGUGCCAGGGAUUGAACUCAGGGGUGCUCUACCAUCGAGCUAGAUCCCCAGCUCUUUUUUUCUUUUAGUUGUUGAUGGACCUCUAUUUUUUUUAUUUAUAUGUGGUACUGAGAAUCAAACCCAGUACCUCACAAGUGUGAGGCAAGUACUCUACCACUAAGCCACAACCCCAGCCCGCCAGCCCUUUUAUUUUUUAUUUCAAGACGGUCCCCAGGCAGGCCUGGAACUUUGACCCUCUUGCCUCAGCCUCCUGAGUUGUUGAGAAGACAGGCAUGCUCACCAGCCCAGCCAUCUGAGUCCUUUGGUCACUUCACAUCAGUAUAGGUCUUUAGCCUUCCUUUUUAAAACCUGAUGAAGGUUACAUUUACCUGGAGCCCCUUCUGUCCAGGUGUCCAUUCAUUCUCCUCUGUGUAUAGGGAAGCAUACCAGGCAACAAGGUGAGUUUUGCUUACAGUCACCAAGCAAUUUAAAAGAGAAUUGUUCACCAGGCAUCAUGGCUUAUGCCUGUAGUCCUGCCACUGAGGAGGCCGAGGCAGGAGGAUCAACUGAACCCAAGAGCUGGAAAUGACUGUGAGACCCAGGCUCAAAAACAGAAUUGCCCAUUGAUUUGACCCAGUGGUUUGCUCUUUCUGAUGGUCCACAUUUUCUUCUAAUGUUGUUUCCUUACAGUUUGAAGGACUUUAACAGUUCUUUCACAUUUUUUCUUCUUUUAAUUGGCAUGUAGAAAUUGUAGCUAUUUGUGGUCUGGCUAAUAGUUCUCCAGAGAACUGCACAGUGACAGAUUUCUAAAUCUGUUCCUCUGAGAAUGUCUGAAGUUAUUUUUGCUGAGUUUGGAAUUCUGGGGUCCUGGCUCUUCCCUGCCUGUGGGUGAGGAGUGUCCCUGCUGGCUGCUGCCCCCAGUUCUGGCAGGAUGACAACCAUCCUCUGAGUGGUAGCCUUCUGUUGGUCGUGGACUCUUAGUUUGUGGCUUUCUUGGCCGUUACUUGUCCCCUCGUGUGCUCUCUGGGUUGCAGAGCCUUUCAGAUGCGAGGUAAGCGUUCUACCACUGAGCAGCACCCUAGCUAGGUGUUCCAGACCGGCCUUGACUUGGAAUCUUCCUGCCUCAGCCUCCAGGGUUGCUGGGUUACCCUCCUGUGCCACCACACCCAGCUGGCCGUCAUUCCUUUAAGUGUUUGUUCUGUCCUGCACUCCUUCUCCUCUUCCUCGGAGCUCUGCCUCACGCAGUCCCUUGUGCUAGAGGUCUGACUGUGCUUGCGGCCGAUGCUUCCAGGCCUCUCCAGACACAGGGCUGCGUAGGGUGUCCAUGUGUGUGGUGUGUUCAUAUGUGUAUUUUUUUUUAAUAUUUAUUUUUUAGUUGUAGUUGGACACAAUACCUUUAUUU